rnacentral:rRNA from 1 species
UACGGAGGGUGCAAGCGUUAUCCGGAUUUACUGGGUGUAAAGGGUGCUCAGGUGGAUUUGUAAGUCAGAGGUGAAAUCCCAAAGCUUAACUUUGGUGCUGCCUUUGAUACUGCAAGUCUAGAGUUUGAGAGAGGGCAAUGGAAUAUCUGGUGUAGCAGUGAAAUGCGUAGAUAUCAGAUAGAACACCAAUGGCGAAGGCAGUUGCCUGGCUCAAAACUGACGCUAAAGCACGAAAGUGUGGGGAGCAAACAGG